rnacentral:lncRNA from 1 species
UUCUGCUUCAAACUAAUAUUUUCUUGUAGUGCUGAGUUUAUUAUUAUAUUUUAAGCACCUUACAUAUUUCAACACAAGAUGUUCCCAGCUGUGCUGAGCACAUGCUAAAGUGGGAGCUGACUCUCUGGGUUGGAAGAAAUUAAGGUGUCUGAUUUUCUGAAGAAUCUUGUUUGGUAUAGAAGCUUCAGCAGUUACUUCCAGCCAUCCUAGAACUCUCUCAUGACAUCCCUUCUGGCGAUUUCGGAGUUCUCCUAGGACUGUGACACUUUGACCUGUAUGUACCUUGACCACGUGAACAGCACACUCAUUUUUGGCCCUGAAAGGUAUAUAAAUCAUGUCCUGUCCUGGAAUCUGAAUGUCUUCCCUUUUCACAGUGGAUAAGGCUAUACUUCCUCUUGGCUUCUUGAAGGUAUGCUGAGAACUAAUGAGAUGGGUUUGUGGAAUGCUUUGAGCUGCUGACAUGAAAAGAACAAUGCUCUAGCUUUGUGAAUAACAUAACCCCUAUUGUCAGUGAAUCCACUGAGUCAGAUGAGGACAGGGAGAGACCUACUAGAAUCAAAGAUACUAACAAACCAGGGAGGGCCAGCUCGUUGCUGUAAUUGCUGAUGGCAGUGACAACUGAGGAGAGUGAUGAAAACGUAAAGAAGGUAGAGUAAUGCUCCCAGAAGGAGGUCUCGACUAAUAACAGAUGGGGAAUUGGUGAAUAAACUUCAGCUUUCUUGCCCCUCAGUUGGGAUAACUCUGGCAGGUUGCACACCUCGGGCCUCCCAGAGUCCCCUAGAGCAGGGAUCCCCAAACCCCAGAGACACGGACCAGUACUGGUCCACGGCCUGUUAGGAACCGGGCUGCGCAGCAGGAGGUGAGCAGUGGACAAGUGAGCGAAGCUUCAUCUGUAUUUACAGCCCUCCCCGUCGCUCGCAUUACUGCCUGAGCUCCAUCUCCUGUCAGAUUAGCAUUAGAUUCUCAUAGGAGUGUGAACCCUGUUGUGAACUGAGCAUGUGAGGGACCUAGGUUGCAUGCUCAUUAUGAGACUCUAAUGCUUGAUGAUCUGUCACUACCUCCCAUCACCCCCACUGGGGCCGUCUAAUUGCAGGAAAACAGCUCAGACUCCCACUGAUUCUACCUUAUGGCCUGACAAAAUAAGUGGCUGUGCUCGGAAAGCCCAAGUGACAAUGAAGUCCAGGUAACCUCUAGGAAUUGCAGGUUCCCUCUUGGAGCUGAGGACAGUCUCCAGUCUCCAGCCAGCAAGAAGCCAGGGCCCUCGGUCCUACUGCUGCAAGGAAAGGAAUUUUGCCUGUGCCCGGAGUCAGAGUGGAAGCCAGUUCUUCUCCAGUGAAUGUGAACGCAGCCUGGCCAGCCCCUUGAUGGCAGGCGUGAGACCCUAAGUGGGGGACUGAGUGUACCUGGACACCUGAUCCAUAAAAACUGUGAGAAAAAUCUGUCUUGUUUUAAGGCCACUACGUUUGUGGCAAUUUGCAGCAAUAAAUAAUUAAGUACAAGUACAUGUCACCCAAGGUCAACUAUUUUCAACAGUUUCCAAUUGUUUCAUUUAUACCUCCAUGUCUGGAGCUGGGUGGGUGGGAGGAGGGGAG